AUCAGAAGCAAGUGUGAACUGGUAUUUGUGAGGUUUUCCAACUAGAAACAGAGGCCAAGGUGGGUAAGUAGUAGGGGGGCCUGAUGAGAGACACGCCAGGGAAAAUGGCAGAUACAGCAUGGAGCUGUCCUAUCAAGGUGACAGAGAAGCCCCGAAAGAGGAGUCAGAAGGAGGUGCAAGACCAGAGCAGCAUCCCUCAUGUAGGUGGGGCAGCAGAGGGUUCCACAAGAUCUGGGUUCAACCAAGAGUUUAACAGCCUUUCUGCAGGGAGUGGGGCUGGAGGUGAUUUUCUGAACCAGAGUCUAUCAAAGUCUAUCAAAGCUAAAGAACCUCGUGUUCUCAUAUUCUUGCAAUUAAAUGGGCCCUUGACUGAUAAUGGCUAAUGGACUCUGAGUGGAAGUGAUGUAUGUCAUUUUUGGCCCAAGUGUUUAAAAGUGAAGGUAAGUCCCCCUAUUUAUUCCCUUGCAGAGAGAACUCAAGUGUCAUGUGUUAGGAUGAUAGUGAGCCCAGAAGCCAUCUGCUAGGAUGGUGAUGUCACAACGUGAGGGCUUGCUCCUCUGCCAGCCUAGGUCUCUGAAUGACUAGGUGUAACUGACCUGCAUUAGCUGUGUGCCAUAACACUUUUGUAGUAUUAAAUCCUUGAGAUUUGGGGGAUCUAAUGGGCACCCUGACUACUAUAGCUGACAUCCUGGUAUGUACUCUUUUCUCUAACUGGAUUUUGUAUUUUUCCUACAACUUAAACCUCCAUGCCUGUGUUUGUUAUUUAUAAAACUAAGGUACUCUGUGG
rnacentral:lncRNA from 1 species